rnacentral:lncRNA from 1 species
UCGUGGACGGGUGGGGCUUGCCACGUCAACCGCUGUAGUACACGUGUUCUGGGCGCGGAAUGUUCCCCCGCCCGGGAACCGUUUACGUGGGCGGCAAGUCAGUUGUUGGAGCCGGGCAGAAGGCAUGCCAGACAAUUCGUAUCUGGCCAUUCGAUCAGCCGGUUUGUGUCGCUUUGCGGAUGGUGGAAAGAGACUGACAGUUCGAGUUGUUUGAUCCGGGACACGAUUAGCUGGAUGGCGACGAGACGGAUACGAAGCGCAAGUAUGUGCGGAUGAGGACCCGAUGUGGCGGACGCAUCAGUCAAGCACCCCGUAAAUAGGCGAUUGUCACGUGGUAUGCCGUAAUGUGUUUCGGCAGCAGUACGCGGAAUGUGCAUCCGAGUCCGCGUGGGGGGGGCCUCCUGGUAUUCCUUGGACGUGCAUCGCAGGGAGUAAGGCGGGUGAAUGCUUUCAAGUCACAACAAGAGGGCUUCAGUUUUCUAAAGGCGUUGAGUUGCGACUACCCCGAUGCCGUUGGAUGGCGGGCGAAGGCGUAGGAUGGGGUCGUUUAAAUCCAGGCCAGUAGGUUGAACAUUUUUCCGAUCUCGCGGUGGAGGCCAGAGGGAGGGACGCUAUACGUGGCGCUGCCGUUGCACGGUGGAAUGACGGCAUAUGAGGGACGUCCUGGACUGGAGGGGACACACUCAACCGCUCGAGUGCACUCGACUCGGGGCAUGACGUGGUGUGGCACCGCUCGUUCUCCAGCUCCCGGCAGUAGGCGCAGGCGGCGCGAAUGUGUUGCAUGCAGCCAAACACGAGUGCCAGGCAGCUCAUGAGGCACCCCCCGAUCAGGCGCAUUGUGCGCCCUUGCGGGUUUGGUAAACAGAGUCACGGGUUGAACCAGUUUCUGUUCGAGUACGGUACCCAAUAGAAUUGGACGGGAUGGGGGGAUGUUAUAGCGCGUUGUGCAGAAGACGUCUUCGGAGUGCACGUACCGCGUUUCGUUGAGCGUCGCGGCCGUCUGGUUUUGUGGGUUUGGGUGUACCGUCGUCCCUCACCGACUGGGCUGUUGAUUCUACAGUUUGCGAUGUAGUGGUGGUUUGUGGGUGGUACGGAGUAAAAGUGCCAGGUGGCAUUGCCUCAGAGUUGUUUCGCGUCGGGUGCGUCGACUAGGGCUUGCAUGCAGUCUUGCAUUUGUCUGGUGCGGUGCACGUGCUGAGUGCAGCGUAUGGUGUGGGAGCAGCGUGUGAGCGUGGAGGGGAUGUGGCGAUGUGGUUUCAAUUGCAGUGUAUAAAAACAGAGCAUUACGUGUAACGGUGGCAAGUGCAUUUUGGCAGAACUACUGUGCUGUGGUUCCUGCUGGCCUGGGGUACGGGCGCCAGCAUGCUCGGCGAUGGUCACGAAGUGAGCAUGGUGCCGCGAGUCUACAGAAUUGUGUUGUGUGUCGGUACAUUUGGACUGAAUGUGGGUGUUGGAUAUCUGUUGCGUCGAUAGUGCGGGAGGAGGCACCAGGCGUCCCCCAUUUGAUUCGAGUUCGUGAUGGGACGUGCGUGAGGCAGUCGUUGCUCUUGUGAAUCUACGCGUUGGAUGAAUUGUGGUAUUGCUGCACAGGCUGUAGGCACAUGAUUGAACGUGGGUUCGGGUGUUGUGUAGACGUGGUGCAGGAGGGAAUGAAGGGGCGAGUGAAGAAGGAACGUGGGGAGGGCACCGGCGGCAACGGGGGGCGGAACAAAAACACGUGUGUAAUGUCGUUGCGCUUGGGUGAUAGGUUGCAGAGCAAGUAGAAGGGUCAGUGGCAUGGGACCGACGCGGGCCUAUCGAGGGAUGGGGCGGUAAUGGGUAGUUAGGAAAGGUUGAAGAUGAUCUGGCUCUCAAACGUGAUUUGUUGUAUCUAUUUGAAUGGCUAUGCGAGGGAGGGAAUGUGUGAGCAUGGGGGGAGCAGCAGGGAUGUGGAAUCCGGAGACAGUAUGCCCACUGGAAGUCAUUGGCGCCGAUGGCAGGUCAUACGGAGCGUCUGGAACAUGUCUCUGGACGCAGUAUUCCAGAGAGCCACGAGGCGGUACUUCGACGCCAGUUCGGUGUGACCGGCUCCCCACCGGUUGGGACGGACCUUGGUGAGUAGCAUCCUGGCCGCUCCCGCUUUGCUGGCUUUUGAUGCUCAGGCUGUGGAAGUAUGCAAUCAUGAAUUGUGUGUUGACGAGUGCAUGCAAGAGCAUUGCUUGGGAUCGUUGGAGCUGUAUGCGAGUGGGACUAUCGAGUCGGGAGGAGUAUGCGUGUGAUGAUAACUGUGAGGCGUAGGCGUGGGAGCACGCUGUUUUGGUAGGGGGUCGCUGGACCCAUAUUUGUUUGUUGGACGCAAGGGCAGGGCAGACAGGCAGGGGGCGCAAGGCGGACGGGCGACGUCAGCAACGCCGUCGUACCAAAAGUUCCGAUAAGGCCGCCGCGGUUUUCUUCAGACGGUGAUGCAUCGCAAAGUCGUCGUGCCACGUCUCCUGAGAGGCCAGGACUGAUGUCGUCAGCUACUGCAAGUACGUCCACCUCACGCACGAUUCCGUGGAGACUUUUAGGAGAGCAGGUUAGGACUAAUGCGGGGACGUCGUGUAUUGGGUGGGGUCUUGUGUUUGAUCGAAGACGUCGAUAGCAGCUACACGUCAUGUAGCGUAUCGUCCGCCCGAGUCGAGAAUAGUAGGGUAGCGCGUUGUAACACGCCCGUUCGUACAGCACGACCAGACGAACCUUGUUCUCGCAGAGCAAUCGACACUCGGAGGUCGCCACAACUGUAUCUGAUCUGUGGUUUUCUAAAAAAAUGGUUUUUCGUCUGUCCCGUGCUUUGUGGAUCUAGUUUUUGCGUCAUGCAUUUGUUGAGUUCCCGGUAUUCCGCGGAUGAGCAGUAUUGCGUCUCAUUUCCAAGCACCUCGUGACGGUCACCGGUGCAUUGCGGCGCUAAUGUGGGACAGGCCUUCGAGAGAAUAGCCGGUUUCUUGGAGAACACGGUUGGCCGUGAGGGGGGUGAUAUCAUAUGCUCCCAUACUCGGCGCGACUGGGGAAUGUGAUCGGGAAUCACAGAGUGUAAGCCAUCGCUGGAGGAUUUGUUGAUUUUUGGACGGGACGAUGUUUGACGUGCGUACGGUUAACCCGGGGCUGCUCCCGGCCACGACAUUACGAGCCACGGAUGAGACCGGAAAACACAGGACGCCAGCAGCUGUUCGUCGCCAGUGGUGCGACGAGGCGAUAGCUCGCGAGUUGUCUGUUGGAGGGAACUGCACGGGUGUCUUACAGGGAGAGAGAGGGUGACACGGGGGUAAGACGGGUUGAGUCUGGUCGUGGGGUGGAAUUCGAUUAGGCAUGAGUAGUUGGCGGGGUUUGGGAGGGACAGAAUGUGUGAGCGUGAGUGAAGCAGCAGAUAUGUGGACUCCAGAGACAGGAUGCCCAUUCGAAAUCAUUGGCUCCGAUGGUAGGUCAUACGGAGCGUCUGGAAUAUGUCUGUGGAAGGAGUAUUCCAGAGAGCCACGAGGCGGUACUUCGACGCCAGUUCGGUGUGACCGGCUCCCCACCGGUUGGGACGGACCUUGGUGAGUAGCAUCCAGGCCGCUGCCGCUUGGAUGGUUUUUGGUGCUCAGGCUCUGGAAGUAUGCAAUCAUGAAUUGUGUGUUGACGAGUGCAUGCAAGAGCAUUGCUUGGGAUAGUUGGCGAGCUGGAUGCGGGUAGGACUAUCGAGUCGGGAGGAAUGUGAGUCUGACGAUAACUAUGAGGCGUAGGCUUGAGUGCAGGCUCGGGGCGUCAGCGAGGUGACAGCGUAUUAUACUUGGCGUGCAGGACGGGGAAGGUGGAUGGCCGGCAGGCAUGACGACAGUGGCGGUCCCUCAGCAACGCCUUUAUCCCACAGCUUAGUGGGGGGCCAAUGUGGGUUUUAUCAGGCUCUGGCAGUACGCACUCGUCACGGGAGAUACAGUGCGAACGCGCAAACUCGUCGACGGGCAACUGGACGGGUGGUGUGUCACGGGCGGGGUCUUGUAUUUGAUUGGGGACGUCGACGGCAGUCAUACUUCAUGUAGCGCCGGAUCCACCCAAGACACGGACACUAGGGUAAUGUGCUGUAGCACACCUGCUCGUACAGGGUGACUAGGCCAACGUUGUCCUCGCAGAGCAAUCGAUACCCAGUGAUCUUUAGAAGUGUGUCUCAAAUGGCUCUUGAGGUCGUCGUUCUGUCCCGCCUUUCGUUAGUCUUUCAGAUCGCUCAUGCGUUUUUGUUUUGGUGCCGAUAGUAGGAGCGGGGUUGCGUCUGGGCCGGGGUGCAACGUGCAGCGUGGCUUUCAUCGUAUUUUCUUCGUACGUUAGCGCAGACGGUUGUCCCUGCAGUUGGACUCUGGAGGCGUUUGGAUGCGGAGUUUGUCGAGAAGGCUGGAGGCAGGUGGAUGGCUGGAGAGAGGCGGCUACUUCGUGUGUGUCAAUCAGGCGUGCCGGUGUCCGGACAUUCGUUUUCUGCCAGGUGUUGUCGGGUGUUCUCUCACUAAUGGAACAUCAGUGAUGAGAGGCAGCUGAGUCGCAACGAUGUGUCUUCGUGUUGAUCGUGGACAGGAACGGCUCAGGCGUAGUCGCUGCGUUGGCACACGCUCUUGCGGUUAUAACUCUCACGUGGCUCGCCAACGCCUCACGGCUCCCUAUCAGCAAGCCCCGAGUCUGUUCGCCGCUGCCACAACCCACGUCUUAGUACGACAUGCGUGACGCUAUUCGGUGUCCCCAAUAGGCUGUAGGCAACUGGUCAUGUCGAUGCUGGAAUCGAUGGUGCACGAACGUUGAUUCGAGAGUGAAUGAAUCAGAAGUGUCUACCCUCUGCGCCAGCAGGUGCGGCGGUGACACCGGACCGCAAACGGACGGUAGCAGCUGGUCGCCGCGUUUUAUAGGAAGGGACGACAGCUCAUUAAUUAGAACGUCUCUGCAAGGGAGUCUCCCGGGCAACUGAUGGGGGGCGGCAAUGCCACAGCGAUAGGAAGGGGUGAGUAUGGGCAUGGGUGGGAGAGUGGUGUGGCAUAUGAGGUCGACGGGCUUUGCGAGAGACGGGAUGUUAGCAUGAAGGGAGUGGCGGGGGUGUCGAGGUGGAUGAUAUGUGCGCGUUCGAGAGCGUGUGCGUCGAUGCAGGGCCUCAUGGGGAGCAUUGGAAGUGGUCGCGAGAACCAAUACUCUGCUGAGAGACGACGUGGCGCCGCGAUACCAGCUGGGGCGUGACUGCUUGUUCGCUGUCGGUGUUUUGAAGCACCUGGGUGGAUGAGCAGCCUGGCGUUCACCCACCGUUACCUUGAUCCGAUUCAGGCUGGCACAGUGAGUGGUUAGGGAGUUGCUGUUGAAAAAGGAAUGAGAGGCCAUUGGUGGGGGGUACCGGUGGCGAACUGUGUGCGGGUGGGACCAGCGACUGUGCCGAUAUAUGAGUGCGUUAAGCACUGUGAGUCGAGGCGCUCGAGCCAGCGGCGGAAGUCGGCGCGCACUCCGUCUGCACCAACUGCGUCAUUGACUGUCGCCUUCCCUGUUGCACCACACCUCGGCGGUGAUUGGGAGUACUGGAGGAUAUGCUGGCCACGUGUGGAAUGCGAGUGGCAUGUGGGUGCACGAAACAAGAAGCCAGAGCCCCCGUUCUGAGGGACGUGAGUGCGCCAUGAGGAAAGCCGUGUCCGUGUUGAAUUGGAUGAUCUCGAGGGCAGACGUGGUGUCUGGUUGACUCUGCGGCUCUCGUGUCGGCUCAGUGGCAUCGGGCUGCCGGUGGAUGGUGUUUGUGAGUUGCAGGGGUAGUGCGGGACGGGUCGCCGCGCACAGGUCGGUUUUGUGGAGGGCACGGUUUGCUGCGAGAUCCAGGCGUGGCGCAUUUGGCGAAUUGUGGUCUUCAUUCACAGCCGGUAGGCAGAUGAUGAAAAAAGCCGGUUUGUGGAAUGUGGCACGGGGCGGUGCGUGCAUUUUGGGGGGAGGUGGGGGGGGUUGAAUCGUGUGCGUUUCCCCGCCAAGGCAGCCGGAUUGAGGAUCGACACCGGAGGAAGGAGGUCCAACAACAGCAGUCCAUUGCCCUCAGGACGGGGAAGCGGCGAUGGCUUGUGAGAUUGCCUGUGCAGGGGAACUACGCCGAGUGGUUCAAUAAGGGGCGGGAGAGUGGCACAGAAGAAAUAGGAAGAGUUGAGUCUGGCCUUGGGGUCAGCGGCGGCGUGGCGCCUCCAUUCGACCGGCUGUCGGUGGAACUGGCUGUUAGCAUGGGGGCAGCAGCGGAGACGUGAUAUCGGGUGACGGUAUACUCACUAGACGUCAUGUGCAUUGCUGUCGGAUCUUAGGGAGCGCCCUGGACGUUUGGUGGCGGGAAGCAGUAGGCUGUUGAGAAACGAGAUGAGACGCCAAUGGCAACACUGCGAGACGGACGUCUCACCCUUUCAGGCGGAAUCGGGUAUUUGCAGAUGACGUUCAACGGUUGGCCUCGGUCGACCAUUUGACUUGUAUGUGUCCAGGCUGAGGCGGUAAGUAAUGCGAGGCAUGGUGUUGAUGACGAACCGCUAUAUGGCUGCUUGGAAGCGAUAACGAAAACUAUCACAAAGUGAUCAGCGAAUCUGCCGACCUCCGCAUAGGCUGAGGGCAAACAGGCAGAGGUGUCGGAGCCGGCUGUGGGGGCGGGGCACAUACGGUGUGUUGAGGGGGGGUUGAGGUCUGAGGUUGCAGGUUAUAGUCGGUGUGAGGUAUGCUUCGGGUGGAAGGAAUCGGCGGCUAGACCUGGUAGUACAUCGGGUCGCUUGACUAGUCGUGUGCUGGGUGUAGUCUGCCUGGAUCAGUGAGCAAGAAGGACAGCGGAGCUGGUGGACGCCCUUGCGUAGAUGCAGUGCCCCAGUGCGUCGUGAGUGGCGCCCGACAUCAUUUUUGUCAUGUAGCAGAACACUGGGUCUGCACAACCGUGUACACGUCGCCUUCGUUGUGCACGAGCGGCGAGGCUGCGUUGGACGAGCGGCGAUUCUACGUCCGCCGUUGCUGUCAUACUGUGACAGCUGGACCAUCGGACUAUGUUGUGGAGCGCCAUGCACACGUCUUGGUGCCCCCGCGACUGCCUCAAGGUGUGCCGGCGGCGCAGUCCAUUCGCACCAACUGCGUCAUUGACUGUCGCCUUCCCUGUUACACCACACCUCGGCGGUGAUUCGGAGUACUGGAGGAUAUGCUGGCCACGUGUGGAAUGCGAGUGGCAUGUGGGUGCACGAAACAAGAAGCCAGAGCCCCCGUUCUGAGGGACGUGAGUGCGCCAUGAGGAAAGGCGUGUCCGUGUGGAUUUGGAUGAUCCCGAGGGCAGACGUGGUGUCUGGUUGACUCUGCGGCUCUCGUGUCGGCUCAGUGGCAUCGGGCUGCCGGUGGAUGGUGUUUGUGAGUUGCAGGGGUAGUGCGGGACGGCCGCCGGGCACGGGCCGGUUUUGUGGAGGGCACGGUUUGCUGCGAGAUCCAGGCGUGGCGCAUUUGGCGAAUUGUGGUCUUCAUUCACAGCCGGUAGGCAGAUGAUGAAAAAAGCCGGUUUGUGGAAUGUGGCACGGCGCGGUGCGUGCAUUUUGGGGGGAGGGGGGGGGGGUUGAAUCGUGUGCGUGUCGUCGCCAAGGCAGCCGGAUUGAGGAUCGACACUGGAGGAAGGAGGUCCAACAACAGCAGUCCAUUGCCCUCAGGACGGGGAAGCGGCGAUGGCUUGUGAGAUUGCCUGUGCAGGGGAACUACGCCGAGUGGUUCAAUAAGGGGCGGGAGAGUGGCACAGAAGAAAUAGGAAGAGUUGAGUCUGGCCUUGGGGUCAGCGGCGGCGUGGCGCCUCCAUUCGACCGGCUGUCGGUGGAACUGGCUGUUAGCAUGGGGGCAGCAGCGGAGACGUGAUAUCGGGUGACGGUAUACUCACUAGACGUCAUGUGCAUUGCUGUCGGAUCUUAGGGAGCGCCCUGGACGUUUGGUGGCGGGAAGCAGUAGGCUGUUGAGAAACGAGAUGAGACGCCGAUGCCAACACCGCGAGACGGACGUCUCACCCUUUCAAGCGGAGUCGGGUAUUUGCAGAUGACGUUCAACGGUUGGCCUCUGUCGAUCGUUUGACUUGUACCUGUCCAGGCUGAGGCGGUAGGUAAUGCGGAGAAUGGUGCUGAUGACGGACCGGGAGCCGGCUGCUUGGAAGCGCCAACGAACUCUAUCGCAAUGUGGCCAGCGAGUCGGCUGACAUACGCAUUGACUGAGGACGACCAGGCGGGAGAGUCGAAGCAGGCUGUGGGGCUGGUGGCGAAAAGAGGGUGUCGACGGGGGGUUGAGGUCUGAGGUUGCAGGUUAUAGUCGGUGUGAGGUGCCCUUCGGGUGGAAGGAAUCGGCGGCUACACCUGGCAGUAUCUCGGUCGCUUGACUAGUCGUGUGCUGGGUGUAGUCUGCCUGGAUCAGUGAGCAAGAAGGACAGCGGAGCUGGUGGACGCCCUUGCGUAGAUGCAGUGCCCCAGUGCGUCGUGAGUGGCGCCCGACAUCAUUUUUGUCAUGUAGCAGAACACUGGGUCUGCACAACCGUGUACACGUCGCCUUCGUUGUGCACGAGCGGCGAGGCUGCGUUGGACGAGCGGCGAUUCUACGUCCGCCGUUGCUGUCAUACUGUGACAGCUGGACCAUCGGACUAUGUUGUGGAGCGCCAUGCACACGUCUUGGUGCCCCCGCGACUGCCUCAAGGUGUUCCGGCGGCGCAGUCCAUUCGCACCAACUGCGUCAUUGGGAGUACUGGAGGAUAUGCUGGCCACGUGUGGAAUGCGAGUGGCAUGUGGGUGCACGAAACAAGAAGCCAGAGCCCCCGUUCUGAGGGACGUGAGUGCGCCAUGAGGAAAGGCGUGUCCGUGUGGAUUUGGAUGAUCCCGAGGGCAGACGUGGUGUCUGGUUGACUCUGCGGCUCUCGUGUCGGCUCAGUGGCAUCGGGCUGCCGGUGGAUGGUGUUUGUGAGUUGCAGGGGUAGUGCGGGACGGCCGCCGGGCACGGGCCGGUUUUGUGGAGGGCAAGCUUGGCUGUGAGAUCCAGGCGUGGCGCAUUUGGCGAAUUGUGGUCGUGAUUCACAGACGGUAGGCAGAUGAUGAACGGUUUGUGGAAUGUGGCACGGGGUGGUGCGUGUAUAGUGGGGUGGGGGGUGGUUGAAUCGUGGGCGUUUCCCCGCCAAGGCAGCCGGAUUGACAGUCAGUAACGUAAUUCGGAAGGCUGACAGCAGCCGGUCGCCGCACGAUUGCCUGAGAGGGGGACUACAACGGCGACGUACGGGGAGGUACGGUGGCUGGAGAUAGAAUGGAAUUAGUCUGGAUUUGGGGUCGGCUGGCACUUGGCACAUGCAGUCGGCGGGCUUUGCGAGGGAGGGGAUGUGUGAGAAUGAGGGGAGCAGCAGAGAUGUGGAAUCCGGAGACAGUAUGCCCAUUCGAAGUCAUCGGCUCCGAUGGUAGGUCAUACGGAGCGUCUGGAAUAUGUCUGUGGAAGGAGUAUUCCAGAGAGCAACGAGGCGGUACUUCGACGCCAGUUCGGUGUGACCGGCUUCCCACCAGUUGAGACGGACCUUGGUGAGUAGCAUCCAGGCCGCUGCCGCUUGGAUGGUUUUUGGUGCUCAGGCUCUGGAAGUAUGCAAUCAUGAAUUGUGUGUUGACGAGUGCAUGCAAGAGCAUUGCUUGGGAUAGUUGGCGAGCUGGAUGCGAGUAGGACUAUCGAGUCGGGAGGAAUGUGAGUCUGACGAUAACUACCAGGCGGAGGCUUGAGAGCAGGCUGGGGGCGUCAGCGAGGUGACAGCGUAUUGGGCUUGGCGUGCAGGACGGGGAAGGUGGAUGGCCGGCAGGCAUGACGACAGUGGCGGUCCCUCAGCAACGCCUUUAUCCCACAGCUUGGUAGGGGGCCAAUGUGGGUUUUAUCAGGCUCUGGCAGUACGCACUCGUCACGGGAGAUACAGUGCGAACGCGCAAACUCGUCGACGGGCAACUGGACGGGUGGUGUGUCACGGGCGGGAUCUUGUAUUUGAUUGGGGACGUCGACGGCAGUCAUACUUCAUGUAGCGCCUGAUCCGCCCAAGACACGGACACUAGGGUAAUGUGUUGUAGCACACCUGCUCGUACAGGGUGACUAGGCCAACGUUGUCCUCGCAGAGCAAUCGAUACCCAGUGAUCUUUAGAAGUGUGUCUCAAAUGGCUCUUGAGGUCGUCGUUCUGUCCCGCCUUUCGUUAGUCUUUCAGAUCGCUCAUGCGUUUUUGUUUUGGUGCCGGUAGUAGGAGCGGGGUUGCGUCUGGGCCGGAGUGCAACGUGCAGCGUGGCUGUCGUCGAUGGGAGGGCGUCGAUGAGGGUGGAGUCAGGUGGAUGGCUGGAGAAAAGCAGUUACUUCGGUGUGUGAAUCAGGCGCGCCGGUGUCCCGACAUCUGUUUUUUGCCAGGUGUUGUCGGGUGUUCUCUCACUAAUGGAACAUCAGUGAUGAGAGGCAGCUGAGUCGCAACGAUGUGUCUUCGUGUUGAUCGUGGACAGGAACGGCUUAGGCGCAGUCGCUGCGCUGGCACACGCUCUUGCGGUUAUAAAUCUCACGUGGCUCGCCAACGCCUCACGGCUCCCUAUCAGCAAGCCCCGAGUCUGUUCGUCGCUGCCACAACCCACGUCUUAGUACGACAUGCGUGACGCUAUUCGGUGUCAACACUGGCCUCAUGGGGAGCAUUGGAAGUGGUCGCGAGAACCACUAGUCUGCUGGGAAGACGACAUGUCGCCGCGACACCAGCUGGAGCGUGACUGCUUGUUCGCUGUCGGUGUUUUGAAGCACCUGGGUGGAUGAGCAGCCUGGCUUUUACCCAUCGUUGUCUUGUUCCGAUUCAGGCUGGCAUUGGUUCCCGGUAUUCCGCGGAUGAGCAAUAUUGCGUCUCAUUUCCAAGCACCUCGUGACGGUCACCGGUGCAUUGCGGCGCUAAUGUGGGACAGGCCUUCGAGAGAAUAGCCGGUUUCUUGGAGAACACGGUUGGCCGUGAGGGGGGUGAUAUCAUAUGCUCCCAUACUCGGCGCGACUGGGGAAUGUGAUCGGGAAUCCCAGAGUGUAAGCCAUCGCUGGAGGAUUUGUUGAUUUUUGGACGGGACGAUGUUUGACGUGCGUACGGUUAACCCGGGGCUGCUCCCGGCCACGACAUUACGAGCCACGGAUGAGACCGGAAAACACAGGACGCCAGCAGCUGUUCGUCGCCGGUGGUGCGACGAGGCGAUAGCUCGCGAGUUGUCUGUUGGAGGGAACUGCACGGGUGUCUUACAGGGAGAGAGAGGGUGGCACGGGGGUAAGACGGGUUGAGUCUGGUCGUGGGGUGGAAUUCGAUUAGGCAUGAGUAGCUGGCGGGGUUUGGGAGGGACAGAAUGUGUGAGUGUGAGUGAAGCAGCAGAUAUGUGGACUCCAGAGACAGGAUGCCCAUUCGCAGUCAUCGGCUCCGAUGGUAGGUCAUACGGAGCGUCUGGAAUAUGUCUGUGGAAGGAGUAUUCCAGAGAGCCACGAGGCGGUACUUCGACGCCAGUUCGGUGUGACCGGCUCCCCACCGGUUGGGACGGACCUUGGAGCAGGGCGGAUACAAGGCGGACGGGCGACAUCAACAACGCCGUCGAAUCAAAAGUUCCGAUAAGGCCACCGCGGUUUUCGUCAGACGGUGAUUCAUCGCAGAGUCUCGUGCCACGUCUGCUGAGAGGCCAGGACUGAUGUCGUCAGCGGCUGCACGUAGGUCCACUUCAGGCACGAUUCCGUGGACCCUUUUGAGAGAGCAGGUUAGGACUAAUGCGGGGACGUCGUGUAUUGGGUGGGGUCUUGUGUUUGACCGAGGACGUCGACGGCAGCUACACGUCAUGUAGCGUAUUGCCCGCCCGAGUCGAGAAUAGUAGGGUAGCGCGUUGUAACACGUCCGUUCGUACAGCACGACCAGACGAACCUUGUCCUCGCAGAGCAAUCGAUACCCAGUGAUCUUUGGAAGUGGGCCUCAAAUGGCUCUUGAGGUCUUCGUUCUGUCCCGCCUUUCGUUAGUCUUUCAGAUCGCUCAUGCGUUUUUGUUUUGGUGCCGGUAGUAGGAGCGGGGUUGCGUCUGGGCCGGAGUGCAACGUGCAGCGUGGCUGUCAUCGAUGGGAGGGCGUCGAGGAGGUUGGAGUCAGGGGGAGAAAAGCAGUUACUUCGGUGGGUCAAUCAGGCGCGCCGGUGUCCCGACAUCUGUUUUUUGCCAGGUGUUGUCGGGUGUUCUCUCACUAAUGGAACAUCAGUGAUGAGAGGCAGCUGAGUCGCAACGAUGUGUCUUCGUGUUGAUCGUGGACAGGAACGGCUUAGGCGUAGUCGCUGCGUUGGCACACGCUCUUGCGGUUAUAAAUCUCACGUGGCUCGCCAACGCCUCACGGCUCCCUAUCAGCAAGCCCCGAGUCUGUUCGUCGCUGCCACAACCCACGUCUUAGUACGACAUGCGUGAAGCUAUUCGGUGUCCCCAAUAGGCUGUAGGCAACUGGUCAUGUCGAUGCUGGAAUCGAUGGUGCACGAACGUUGAUCCGAGAGUGAAUGAAUCGGAAGUGUCUACCCUCUGCGCCAGCAGGUGCGGCGGUGACACCGGACCGCAAACGGACGGUAGCAGCUGGUCGCCGCGUUUUAUAGGAAGGGACGACAGCUCAUUAAUUAGAACGUCUCUGCAAGGGAGUCUCCCGGGCAACUGAUGGGGGGCGGCAAUGCCACAGCGAUAGGAAGGGGUGAGUAUGGGCAUGGGUGGGAGAGUGGUGUGGCAUGUGUAGUCGACCGGCUUUGCGAGAGACGGGAUGUUAGCAUGAAGGGAGUGGCGGGGGUGUCGAGGUGGAUGAUAUGUGCGCGUUCGAGAGCGUGUGCGUCGAUGCAGGGCCUCAUGGGGAGCAUUGGAAGUGGUCGCGAGAACCACUAGUCUGCUGGGGAGACGACAUGUCGCCGCGACACCAGCUGGGGCGUGACUGCUUGUUCGCUGUCGGUGUUUUGAAGCACCUGGGUGGAUGAGCAGCCUGGCUUUUACCCGCCGUUGUCUUGUUCCGAUUCAGGGUGACACAGGUGACACAGGGUCCCGGUAUUCCGCGGAUGAGCAAUAUUGCGUCUCAUUUCCAAGCACCUCGUGACGGUCACCGGUGCACUGCGGCGCUAAUGUGGGACAGGCCUUCGAGAGAAUAGCCGGUUUCUUGGAGAACACGACUGGGUGAGGCGGGUGACCGCUGACGUUUCCAGACACGUCACGAUUGGCGAAUGCGGUCUUGGUUCGCAGUCUGUAAGCAGCCGUCGAAGGGUCUGUGAAAUUUAGGGUGGGACAGCGUUUUCAGAGGGAGGGUGAAUCAGUUGUCUCUCCACGACACGACAUCCGGUUUGACGAACGACACCGAAAGACGGAAGACCGACGGCAACAGUUCGUUGCUCUCGAUAGGAAGGGGCGAUGGCUCGUGAGAGCGCCUGUGCACGGUUUCUGCGCGGGAUUCAUUAGAGGCUGGAACGGUGUCACAAAGAUUGGAAGGGUUGAAUCUGGUCUUUGGGUGGAUUGCGAUUUGGUAUAAGCAGUCGGCGGCCUUUUGCGAUGGCCGGGAUGUUAGCAUGAGAACGGCAGAGAUGUGGGAUUGGGAGAUUGUACGCACAGUCGAGAGCGUGUGCAUCGACGUCGGUCUUCACGGGGCACAUGUGAAUUGGUUGUGGGGAGCAGCAGACUGUUGUGCGAGGAGAUGGCAUUCUAACGCGACCAGUGCGAGACCAGUGUAUCACCGGUUCAGACAGAUUUGAGUGUUAACAUCGUAGGCGCGGCUUAGGGGCUGUUUCUGCCUUGUUCAGCGUCCAUUGGUAGGUAGACAUCAGUUUGUGGUUAGAGAUGGAAUGCGAGCUUUUUGCUUGGGAGAGCUGACGAACGGUAUGAAAAUGAGACCAACGACUCUAGAGGUGUGUCAGCACGUUCAUCAAAGUGAUGCAAGGGCU